CCUUUUCUAGAUACUGGUUUCUCACUGGACAGUAGCAGUUUCUGGAGCAGAACAGGGCACUUGGCUGGUGCCUGAAAUGAAUCUUCUUCCAGUCAAAAUCUGGGAGGAAGCCAUAAAGCAAGGCUAGCCCACUUUGUAGUGUCCGGCUUUUCCCCGUGGUCUCCAAGUAAAGCUGGUCUGUCGACCAGUCAUUCGGCAGGAGUUUGUGUUUUUUUAGGUAGGUGUCCCUCAGUAGCUGGCCAUUCUGCAAAUGCUGCAUGACUCGUGUCUGCAUGAGCUCUUCCAUCUCACACAGUGGGUGAUUGAGUUAAAGAGGCAGGGAGUGUAGAGGGCUUUCGAAAGAGGCUCCGGAUCCUUUUGACAUGUGACUAACAAAAGCUUCCAGUUUAGGGUGAUAAUGGUUUCCUGUUGGCCACCAGAGUGCAGUCAAUUUUUGGUCGCUUUGUUUUGGGAAUGACAUACAGCGGGUAUUGUCCCCGUGUCGAAUGAACACAUGCACUGAGAUCAGCUUAAAAUGAUGCGGAGCGUGACCUUCCAUGCUGCGCUCAGCCACACUGGGAAUGUCGCAGUACAAAAGAGCUUCGUAAACGGGGUCCAUCACGGGGGGCUUGGUCACUGGGUCAGGCAUGAUUCUCUUUCAACUCUUGCUACUCACUCCAUUCUUAGCUGUGGACACUGGGGUCAGGUGGAAGAAUUGCAGGCUGAGGCUGAUGAAGGCCAGCAGCGUAGCCAGGGCCAGCAGCAGCAAGAAGCGAUUGCAGAAAAGCAUUAUUAUUUGUUCUAUUUUCUCUUCAUGGUUUCACCUCCAAUCGGAAACCAAUCCUUGUAAGUGUGGGAAAUGCCACGUUUGGUGACUCUGGUCUCAGGGUCCCCUUUAAAGUGUACAGAAUUUAGGGUUUUAAACAUGACCACAACGGCCUGGAGGCUGCGGGGUCGGGGAUCCCGGGAGCUGGAGCUCCCCCUCUACUCCUUUAAUAGUAGAAUGAUUGAUUUUAUUUUGCCACAUGGUCACCUAGAAUAAAGACUUCAUUUCCUGGAUUCUUUUGAUCUGGAUGUGGCCAUGACAUAAAGUUCUGACCAAAUGGAUCAGACUGGAGAACAAGGAACUGGCAGGAACAAGGGACAAUCUUCAGCUAACUGCCAGCAAAGAACCAAAUCCUGCCAAGUAACAUACAUGUAAUCUUGGAAGUGGAUUUGUCCCCAGACAAGUCUUCACAUAGAACACAAGCUUAACCAACACCUUGAGCGUAGACUUAUAACCAAGCCAUGCCCAGAUUUCUGAACUACAGAACUGUGAGUUGUUUUAUAGCUGCUAAACACUGGACUAAGUUAUUAUAGGUAAUUGAUACAGUGAUAAAUGUAAGAGUGGAAUGUGGAAAAGAGUGGAAUUCCAGAAAGUGUUCUUAAAUACAGAGAGUGUGCCCUUCUUCUGCUCCUUCUUCUUGAUAACUAGAAUAAGGAUAUAUUGGCUGAAACCCUAGCAGCUAUUUUGAACCAUAAAGUGAUAAUAGAGCAAAGCAACAAGUAAAAGGGAAUGUGGAUUCCUGAGAGUAUCAUGUAUAAUGCUACUCUGGAUCACUUGCACUUUCUUAUACAACAGACAGAUCAAUGUCAGCUUUUUGUUUACUUUAUUUAUUUUUUGUUCAUUUUUGUUUAUUUUGAUUUUUCUGUCACAUAAAGACAAAGCUAGUCCUAACGAAUGAUUGUGUCUGACACUACUCUUAAUAUCUGAUAAAUAUUUAAGAAAUACUAGAGUUUUUUUCUGUGCAUCAGAAAAAAUAAAAUUCUUAGGACAAAAUUUAACCAAGAAGAUGAAAGACCUGUACACUGAAAACUAUAAGGCAUUAAUGAAAGAAACUGAAGAUGCAAAUACAUGGAAAGAUAUCUCAUGCUCAUGGAUUAGAAGAUUUAAUAUUAUUAAAACGUCCAUACUACCCAAAGCAAUCUACAGAUUCUGUACAAUCCUUACAAUCAUAAGAUUUGUAUAGAACCACCAAAAACUCCGUAUAACUAAAGCAAUCUUGAGAGAGAACAAAGCUGGAAGUAUCACACUACCAAAUCACACUACUGCCAUACUAUCAAAUUUCAAACCACACUACAAAGCUUUAGCUAUUGUCAUAAAAACAGACACGAUGGAUAAAUUAAAAAGAAUAGGGAGCCCAGAAAUAAACCCAUGCAUAUACAAUUAAUUUAUGACAAAGGAGUAACAAACAUACAAUGAGAAAAAGACAGUCUUUUCAAUAAAUGGUGUUGGGAAAACUGAACAACCAUAUACAAAAGAACAGGACUACUAUCUUACAAAAAAAUUAACUCAAAAUGGUUUGAAGACUUGAAUAUAAGACCUUACACCAUAAAAAACCUAGAAGAAAACAUAUCUUGGGAAUAAUUUUUUGGAUCUAACACCAAAAGCAAAGGGAAAAAAAGGAAAACUAUAAUGGAACUACAUCAAACUAAAAAGUUUCUUCACAGUGAAACAAGCCAGCAACAAAAUAAAAAAGUAACCUGCUAAAUGGGAGAAAAUAUUUGCAAAUUAUAUAUCUGAUAAUGUAUGAUACCCAAAAAAAUAUGAAGAACUUAUUCAACUCAAUAGUAAAAACAAAACACACACAUCUCAAUUCAAAAAUGGGCAGAAUAGAAUGUGAAGGUGGUCUGACUGCAACAUCUGUCCUCACUUUGACUUCCAGGGUUGAUUUGGCUGAUCUAGCUGGCUAGGCAGAUGUCCCCUUCCUUACUCACCACUCCACGUGUGUCUCUCCCAAAGCUGCACACUUGGACAAAGAGGAUGACUUUCCUUGAUUAAAGGAGGAUCAUUAUUCCGUCAAGGGUAUACGAGGAGCUGCAUUUUCUGUUAGAACCUCCAAAUGAGUUCUUAAAAUUGGGCAGAAUAUUUGAAUAGCCAUCUUUCCAAAAAAGACUCUCAGAGGAACAACAAGUAUAUGAAAAGAUGAUAAUUACUAAUUAUAAGGGGAAUGCAAAUCACAACAGUGAGAUAUCACCUCACACCCGUUAGAAUGGCUAUUGUCAGAAGGACAAGAACUAGCAAGUGUUGGCAAGGGUGUGGGGAAAAAGAAUGCUUGAGCAUUGAUGGUGGAAAUAUAAAUUGGUGCAGCCACUAUGGAAAACAGUAUGGAUGUUCUUCCAAAUAUUAAGAAGAGAACUACUAUAUUAUCCAGCAAUUCCAAUUCUGGGUAUUUGAAAAUGAAAACACUAACUCAAGAAGAUAUAGUGCACCCCUAUGUUUAUUGCAGUAUUAUUUAUAGUAGCUAAGAUAUGGAAAUAAUAUAAAUGUCCAUUGAUAGAUAAAUAGAUAAGGAAAAUAUGGGAUAACAAAAGAUAAGAUACCUAGGAAUAAACUUAAUCAAAUAGGUGAAGACCUCUACUCUGAAAGCUAUGAAACACUAAAGAAACUGAAGGCAACACAAAAAAUGUAAAGACAUUCCAUGCUCAU
rnacentral:lncRNA from 1 species